rnacentral:lncRNA from 1 species
UCUGAGUGUGUUGGUACUCGGUACAACAUCACAAACAACAUAUAUAGGCCGGCCGAGACCAAAGGAUCGGAUCACCUUCCAGAUGCAUGCAACCAACGUGAUAUGAAUGCUAUAACUGCACAUUCGGUUUGAGAAUUGUAACAUAGCCUUCCUCUUAAUCUGCAGCAUAAAUUUCCUAGCGCGCCGAGCUAAGGUUUUUGGAGAAGUAAAAUUCCAGUCGCAUCGCAUUUCCAGUCAACCGCAUUGGCCAUGGGUUCGUUAGUUUCCUUUCGAAGUUCUAGUUGCCCUCUUCUUCCCCCAUCAUUCCUUCUUGCAGCUCAAUGUUGGUUCCGAGUGAGCAUCUUAUAAAAAUCGGCUGGCAUUCAAGCAUGUUGGUGCGCAUAAAGUGAGUUAAUUUUCACCAAUCUGGUCCUCCACCAAUAAUCAGUGUUGUGUGUACCAAACUACUACUUGUUUGCAACCGCAAUUUCUUAUGUGUGGUC